rnacentral:lncRNA from 1 species
GUAAUAGUUGCACAUUAAAAUUGGACAAAGGUCAAUAAAGUUCGCAAAUAGAGCAUUUUAGAUGUACAGAAGCUAAGAGUACUCAAGAUCAUACAAAAUUAUGGAUGAAAGACCUUUUCUGACCAUGAAGAAAUUAUAUCUAUUUCGAUGAAAUAUUUUCAUUUAUAAUAAGUGGUCCAAAGUGUUUGGUUACACGCAGGGUGAUACUGAAUAAAGAAUUCCCGUACGAUGGUAGGUUUUCAUAAAAUAGGCUACCAUACACGUGCAUUACCUUAAUCGGCAUGCAUUCUCAGAGUCAGAGAUGACACUCCUAAAGAAGAAAAUGAUCGAUCAUAUGUUGGAUGACAUCUGCACCUUCAGUUUGCAUGUAAUCCUCUUUUACCUGAAUAAUUUUCAGACGCGACCAAGAAUCAGCUUCUUGUUUAUAUACUCGACAAGAAACAGUAAUGAUACGAGGUGAAAAAUAAAGACAGUGCUUCAGAUUAAGAAAUACAGAUUAUAUGGAAUGCACACAUCAACUAAUGUAAAGCAUAAGACCUGAAGAGUCAAGACUUCAAGAUGGGACUUCCAACUCCCAAAGUGAACGCUAUGCUACACAGUAUCCUACUAGAGACCCCAUGGCUCAUGCAGUAAUGCUCAUAAAGUAUCACUAAUGGAGCUACAACAAUUAUAGAAUCCCACUUUGCCCGGAUACAUAAAUGUUUGUGUAUUCUACAAGCACGACUUGUGCCAAUACUAUGGAGGCUUUUUCCACGUGGAAGCAGAAUAGGGAUGGGUCAUCACAAGGCCUAAAACCUUACGUCGUCAUUUAGGUUUGAUGGGUCGUUGCAGAAUGAUAUCAGAUUUUAGUACUUAGUCCAGAGUUGUGCUAGCAAGAAUGCUGGCCCACCAGAGGGCAAGGAUUGCAGAAUUCCACAUCGCCCAAAGAUGGAAAUGUUGUGCGCUAUAUAUGUAAAGACUUGUUUUCCCAUAUGGUCCAGAACACUACGCAUGACUAGUCAUUGAACUAAUAUCUUAGUGGAUGUACAUAAAAGGAAUUUCUAUCAUAGUAGAAGAUGGAGUUAAAAUAUUCCAUCUCUGGCAAGAGAUUGCAGCCUCAUUGUUCCUGAGAAAGCGGUCUAUAGCAUUCUGUGUACAAUGGACAUGCAUGUAUCAUUCAUGCUUCACUGCAGAAGAAACAAAGUUGAGCAAGAGAUUGGCACAGACAAGUUGACAAGCGAAGUACACAUAGGCUGCUUGUUUCUAGAAAUCCUGAAGAGAUCAUAGAAGACAACGUAAUAGAUCUUGUAAAGCUUUAACCACGAAGUUUAGGAAUCUUGUCAAAAUAACUGCUAUUGAUAUUCUGGUGGUACUAAGGUCCUUCGAGUUGCCCGUUUUCAUGCUCCAAGUUGCAUUUUUCAUUUAAUUCUUUGUGGGAAUGUGGAAAAAAAAAAAAUUCUAUAAACUUUGGCGAGGAGAAAUCUAACUAUAUUAACAGCAUUAAAUUGAUGAUUUCAUUAAAUGAAGAAUAAUUGAGAAAUCAUCAAGAACAUAACUCGUGCUACUUAAAUGAUUAAAGCAAGUAAACUCAUGCACAAAACGGAAGGCAGCCAAAAUAAUCCUCCCACACUAGUUACUAUAUAUUCAACAUACAGAAUGCUCACAUUAUAGACUUGGCAGAAAUAGUUUCCAUACCAUGCUAAACGCUUGGAGAUCCUAUAUUUCUAGAAGACUUUGAAGUUAAAAAUAACUCUGUUUGGAUUUUGCAGGAAAUGAAAUAUCGAAAGCCAACGAAGUUCACUUAUUUGAAAGAAUUUCUAAAAUGUGGACUUUACCUAGUAAGUCCACCUAGGAUAGCUUAUCAAACACUCACGACUCUUUUAAAUGUACUGCUAAAAUCCUAAAAUCCACUUGUAAGAGUAUUGCUGAUCAUUUUCUUAAUAUUUAAGGCUAAAAAAUCAUUCCUGCAUAAAUUAUAAUACCACUUUGAACAGUCCAGAUGAGUUAAUUGUGGCAGUUAAAGUUCAAAUAAAUCUUCAUUAGGACGUAGGGAUCACCAAAUAACCAGGUGAAAAGAGAGACGCAACCAACAAAUGCAGCAGCAGAGACAUGUUAAAGAGCAGCAUAAAGACACAUAAUUAUUAAGCAGAACAUGAAAUUAAGUUACAGACCUUCCAGCUCAUCUAAACCAUCAUCACUUGUCGAAACAGACUCGCACUGCUCUCCAUCACUUGCUUUGCAGUGUUCUUCAUAAACGAUAUGUGGAUAUUUUUCAUCUAGAGAAUCCUCCCACUAAGAGA